UACGUAGGGUGCAAGCGUUAAUCGGAAUUACUGGGCGUAAAGCGCUCGCAGGUGGUCCGAUGCGUCGUGCGUGAAAGACCCCGGCUCAACUGGGGGGUGUCGUGCGAUACGGUCGGACUGGAGGCCAGUAGGGGGAUGCGGAAUUCCGGGUGUAGUGGUGGAAUGCGUAGAGAUCAGCAGGAACACCAAGGACGAAGGUACCUACCUGGGCAGUAUCUGACACUCAAGUGCGACAGCGUGGGGAGCGAACCGG
rnacentral:rRNA from 1 species